GACGAACGCUGGCGGCGUGCUUAACACAUGCAAGUCGAGCGGAAAGGCCCUUUCGGGGUACACGAGUGGCGAACGGGUGAGUAACACGUGGGUGAUCUGCCCUGCACUUUGGGAUAAGCCUGGGAAACUGGGUCUAAUACCGAAUAUUCCUUGCUGGUCGCAUGGCCUGGUGGGGGAAAGCUUUUGCGGUGUGGGAUGGGCCCGCGGCCUAUCAGCUUGUUGGUGGGGUGAUGGCCUACCAAGGCGACGACGGGUAGCCGGCCUGAGAGGGUGUCCGGCCACACUGGGACUGAGAUACGGCCCAGACUCCUACGGGAGGCAGCAGUGGGGAAUAUUGCACAAUGGGCGCAAGCCUGAUGCAGCGACGCCGCGUGAGGGAUGACGGCCUUCAGGUUGUAAACCUCUUUCGAUAGGGACGAAGGGUGACUGACGGUACCUAGAGAAGAAGCACCGGCCAACUACGUGCCAGCCGCCGCCGUAAGAC
rnacentral:rRNA from 1 species